rfam:Oesophagostomum dentatum strain OD-Hann O_dentatum-1.0_Cont18958.1, whole genome shotgun sequence.
GGCGCGAUGGCCGAGUGGUUAAGGCGUUGGACUUAAGUUCCAAUGGACGUAAG